AGAAGGCAAGGCUGCUCUACAGCUGAAAAUGAUCUACGAACAAGUUUGGAGAGGCCUGUCUCCCUUUCUGUGCUCUCACAAUGCACAGAAGCUCUACCUUCCUCAACCCCAAUGAAAGCCACAGGCUGCAGAAGGCUCACUUCAUUGUGCUACGCAGUGGCAAAGCAGCAGAUCUCAGCAGAUUCAGAUUGGACCAAACAGAAGAGAUGGUGUCACUUCACAACACACUUGAGGUGUGUUCAGGUUUUGGCAUGGAAACCAGGUUUUUCAGAGGCUUGAAAGACCUCUCUCCUCCAUGUCAAUCAUACUUCACUGCUGCAACUUGCUGCUAUUUAACUUGCUGGUACCUGAUCUGGACACAUACAUACUACGAAACAGAGACCAUUCCAGCUGUCCUGAGAGUAAGUUAAGUGAUACUAACUGCAUUAACACAACCCCAGGAAAGAAGUUGGAUGCGCCACAGCUUCUGAAGAAAAUCUGCUUUAAUGUGAAAAGUGGUCACCACCUGAGAAAAGUGGGGAGGGAAAACAGGCGUGGGCUGUCAGCAGAAGGAGCAGCAGAGCUUCUGCUUCAGAUGAUGGAGAAUUGAGUCAGAUGUGUUGUAAAGAAAGGACAAGCAAACAGGAAGAACAGGCUGCCUGCUGGCUGCUCUGGCAUUCCAGAAGCUGAGUCAUAAGAAGGAGCACCGACAACAGGAAAAACUGAGCAGAAAUUUGUACUUCUGAUAUAUUCUCUAGCUUGCUUUCCCAUGGCUAAAACAUAAUCCAUUUCCUUGACCAACACAAUACAUAAUUGGUAAGAUCUACACACUGAAGGAGCACAGUGAUUAAAAUGGUUCUUAAGUUUGUUACCAAUACCACAAAUAUUUAAAUUAUAAACAACAUAAUUGUUUGAUUACUGAGGAACUUUUUUUAUUAUAAUUAUUAUGACUAAACUCAUUACCAAAGUUGAUUAUUUGUAAGUUCAGGAAUCCCAACAUCUUCAUUAUUCACAUCAACUACUUGAUCCAGGCUUCUUAUGCUCUCACUGGACUGCGAUACAAGGACUUCUGGAAAGCCUGACUUAAAUAUACCCUCAUAGCAGUGGUCUGCCUAGAAAAAAAGAGAGUUUCAUUUCAUAUGCUACAGAUUGGCAACUUCACAGCUCAUGACAGAACAAUGUUUCCACUGAUUGUAUUAUUAACUGCAUUUAAAAUCUGAAUUAAUAUUAAUAACACAGGGAGACUGAGCCCAUAGUU